GCCUGCAACAAGUAGUAUGUGUUAACAAACUUCACUGUCAUCCAGUAAAAGAACAGAAUAGCAUCCUAGUACAAAAACUAAGCACACAGGCAUUGAUGAUCUAUAGAGACCCAUGGCUACUAAACAUUGAUGCUGGAGGACGUGCAAACAAAUUGUUGUUUACAGUUCAGAUGGGUUACAAGAACAAAUUGAUGUAUAAGUGACAAGCAAUAUGGCGAAAUAAUACUAAAUAAUGUCACCCAUAAGACUGAUAGAUCGAAUAACAGUAAAUGCAGCCACGUCACUACCUAGAAAAACUUGGGACAAUGCUGUUGCAUAUGAUGAUAAAUACAAUUAGGAUAAGAUAUAAUUGUUACCUUUGCUGAACUGGAGGAA
rnacentral:misc_RNA from 1 species